UACGUAGGGGGCAAGCGUUGUCCGGAAUCAUUGGGCGUAAAGAGCGUGUAGGCGGUUCGGUAAGUCGGCUGUGAAAGUCCAGGGCUCAACCCUGGGAUGCCGGUCGAUACUGCCGGACUAGAGUUCGGAAGAGGCGAGUGGAAUUCCCGGUGUAGCGGUGAAAUGCGCAGAUAUCAGGAGGAACACCGGUGGCGAAGGCGGAUCUCUGGGCCGAUACUGACGCUGAGGAGCGAAAGCGUGGGGAGCGAACAGG
rnacentral:rRNA from 1 species